GCGGCGGAGCCGGGGCGGCCGCGCGUCCCCGGCCCCGUCGGUGAGCGGCUGCCCGUCCCUCCCCCUCCGGGCCGGCGGGGAAGUUGCAACCGGUUGAGCAGCUCCGAACCCCAAAAAGCGUGCCCUGGGGCUUCUCCUCCCGACCACAGCCGGGCCGCCCCAGCACAAGCACAGCCAAUCCCUGCGGGCUGCAAGACGGAGGGAAGAGGGCGAGGGGAAGCCACGCGGGGCAGGGGGCCGCGGGCGCGGCAGGUGGGGGAUGGCCCGGGGGUCGGGGGACAGCCGACAGCGCCCCGAAGGAGCCCAGGCAGCGGAGCUCCAGCCCCAGGCCGGAGCGUGGCUCGAGCAUCGCUGUGCGAGCCCGCGGCCGCCCCCUCCCGAGCUCGGAGCCGUCCCCUAAAGUUUAUUUUUAGCCCCCGGAAAGCGCUAUAAAGGUCCCGCGGAGCGAGCGGGCCGGGAGACGUGGCACCGCGCUGCCUGCAGCCACUUCUCUGAACUGCUACCUUCAAAAUGAAGAGCAAGGCAGAGGUGAGAACAAAGAAUGCCUUGAAAAAAUCCAGUCGUAAUAUCUGAGGAAUAGAAAUAAUAGGAAAUACUUAUAAGGUCAGAAUUUGGAUGGAAUUUAUGAAAAGUUGCAAAGGGCCCUAUUACAUUUGAAUCUAGAUCUAGGAAUUUUAAUUUUAUACAUAAUAAAGAUAUCAGUGAAUCUUCUCCUCUACUUUGGAUGAGAAUGCAUUCUGCUGUCUUUAGCCUUGCACAACUUUCUUAUACUAAUUGUACUUUCUUAUAACUAAUGUACAUUCAGCUUAAUUCUUUAGUUGUUAGACCUAAGACACCUCCUCACAUUAAGCUAGAGUAUGAAUAUAUUAAACCAUUUGUUGUUCCUCUCUGUUUGCUGGCCCAUAAUUAUAAAUAUUAGAUCCUUGCAUUUCUACAAAGUUUUUUUGUGCAUCCUGGCACUUCUGGAUUUAGCAGCUGCUCUGCCUGUCUGCAUUUGAGGUCAAACAUUUAAGUGUCAACUAAACGUGAGGGAGGUUUCCCUACCAAGUGUCAUUUACAAGAGCAGAUGCUGCAGGCUGUGAAUUAGGCACAGUGGAUAUUAGUCUCAUGUCAUCUAUUGACUGCUAUUAAUAACCCUGUUUACAUCUGAUCCCUGCCCCAAAUUCCUCCCAUAUGGUACUCAAGUACCAUUUUCUUACGUUUUCCAAAGGUCACCUAUCAUCAGCACCAAGAACAGACCACAGGUCACGUGACACAGCACCACCACUGUGCAAAAUCUGUGUUGAGCUAAACUCUCUGCAGUCAUACCUUUAGUUUUAUGCCAUGCUCUGUCCCAAAGUAGUGCUCAGAACAGAGGCAUCCCACCAUUUCCUAGGCAGUUGAAAACUUUGCUCGCAAAGUAAAGUGCACUUGUUCAUUGCAGGCAGACCGUUUAAAAAUGUACAGCUAUCUUCUAUGUUGUUCUUCCAUUCAAAUCUGCAUCAUAACUUUGUCAGCAGGCUGAUAUUCAAUGAUGAGAGGAAGUAGGAAGCAGUAGAAUUAACAUCCACUGGGUGAUCCCAGUUCUAGUACUACCUAACAUUAGAGUGUUUGACUAACUGAUUGCCCUUAGCAUUCUGCUAGCAUCAGAUGCAUGGUAUGAGUUAAAUUAAUUAAAUUUCUGUUCCUCUUAUUGCUUUCCAUAGCCUGAAACAGUUGUAAUUACUGAAAUAAUUUAAAUCAGAAACACUGUAUUCAAAAUGCUUUAAUUGAUUUUCUUUGUAUUUUUGUUAAUAAAAACUGCUCUGUUAAAAGUA